rnacentral:rRNA from 1 species
CAGGGAAUCUUGCGCAAUGGGCGAAAGCCUGACGCAGCGACGCCGCGUGGGGGAUGAAGGCCUGCGGGUUGUAAACCCCUUUUCGAGGGGAAGAAGUUCUGACGGUACCCUCGGAAUAAGCCUCGGCUAACUACGUGCCAGCAGCCGCGGUGAUACGUAGGAGGCAAGCGUUGUCCGGAUUUACUGGGCGUAAAGGGAGCGCAGGCGGCCGGGUCCGUCGGUGGUUUAAACUCCAGGCUCAACUUGGAGAGGUCCACCGAUACCACCUGGCUUGAGGGCGGUAGAGGAGCACGGAAUUCCUGGUGUAGUGGUGAAAUGCGUAGAUAUCAGGAGGAACACCAGAGGCGAAAGCGGUGCUCUGGGCCGUCCCUGACGCUCAGGCUCGAAAGCGUGGGGAGCAAACCGG